GAUGAAGAACGCAGCGAAAUGCGAUACUUGGUGUGAAUUGCAGAAUCCCGUGAACCAUCGAGUCUUUGAACGCAAGUUGCGCCUCAAGCCAUUAGGUUGAGGGCACGUCUGCCUGGGCGUCACAUAUCGUUGCCUGAUGCCAGUUUCCUCGUGAUGGGUGACUGUGCAGGGCGAAUGAUGGCUUCCCGUGAGCAUUGUUGCCUCAUGGUUGGUUGAAAAUUGAGUCCUUGGUAGGGAGCGCCGUGAUAGAUGGUGGUUGAGUGACGAACGAGACCCAAUCAUGUGAGACCCCUACCGAAUUUGGCCUUCAUGACCCACAUGCGUGUUUGGAACGCUCAUGACGAGACCUCAGGUCAGGCGGGGCUACCCGCUGAGUUUAAGCAUAUCAAUAAGCGGAGGA
rnacentral:misc_RNA from 1 species